rnacentral:rRNA from 1 species
GUUGUUGCAGUUAAAAAGCUCGUAGUUGGAUUUCUGGUAGGAGUAACCGUGCCGGACUUGAUUGUUCGCGUAUUGUGUUUUCUCCAGCCAUCCUUGUGGAGAACUCUUCCUGCAUUAACUUGUAGGGAUUGGGAUCCACAUCGUUUACUGUGAAAAAAUUAGAGUGUUUAAAGCAGGCAAUCGCUUGAAUACAUUAGCAUGGAAUAAUAAGAUAGGACUUUGGUACUAUUUUGUUGGUUUGCAUACCAAAUUAAUGAUCAACAGGAACAGUUUGAGGAUAUUCGUAUGAACAUGUCAGAGGUGAAAUUCUUGGAUUUUGAUCAGACGAACUACUGCGAAAGCAUUUAUCAAGGAUGUUUUCAUUAAUCAAGAACGAAAGUUAGGGGAUCGAAGAUGAUUAGAUACCAUCGUAGUCUUAACCAUAAACUAUGCCGACUAGGGAUUGGCGGACGUUGUCUAUAUGACUCCGCC